rfam:Ovis aries breed Texel chromosome 5, whole genome shotgun sequence.
UCCCAGGUGUCUCAGUGCUAAAGAGCCUGCCUGGCAAGCAGGAGAUGUAGGUUCGAUCCCUGGGCA